CCCGACUGCUGAGCCAUUGCUGCUGCCUGCGGAUGUUGCAUGUAAUAUGCUCCUUGUUGCAUAGCAGGAUGUGGGGCCAUCUGGGGAGGCAUUGUUGGUGUCUGUGGCUGGGCAUCAGCAAUUGCAGCUAAAUACAUCAAAUUCUUUUGCAGCUGGGCUUGAUACUGAGCACAUUCAGGAAGUUUACCAAGGUUUUGAUUGUCCAAGAUCGCCAAAAUCAAUUUUUUAUUUUCAUCAAGGUACUU
rnacentral:misc_RNA from 1 species